GACGAACGCUGGCGGCGGGCCUAAUACAUGCAAGUCGAACGCAGUUGCGAACGGGUGAGUAACGCGUGGGUAACUGCCUCAUAGCGGGGGUUAACUAUUGGAAACGAUAGCUAAUACCGCAUACUGUGAGAUGGACCUGCGUUGUAUUAGCUAGUUGGUGAGGUAAAGGCUCACCAAGGCGACGGUACAUAGCCGGCCUGAGAGGGUGAGCCGCCAAACCGGGACUGGGACACGGCCCAGAAUUCUUCGGGAGGGAGCAGUAGGGAAUCUUCGGAAAUGGACGGAAGUCUGACCGAGCAACGCCGCGGGAGAUAAGAAAGUUUUCGGAGUGUAAAGCUCUGUUGUUAGAGAAGCGGUAACUAAAGAGAAAGGGACGGCUAACUACGUGCCAGCAGCCGCGGUAAUUC
rnacentral:rRNA from 1 species